AAAACACAAGGGAAAAAGGAAAUUAUCGUUGUUUUUAAAAUGAUAAUUAAUUGAAAAUAUUUUACGUAAGAGAAGGAUCUACAAAAUUAAAUAAGCUGGCAACGAGUGACGUAUACGUGAAUAAUUAUAUACCUGGACAAGAGGGUGCAUGUUUGAGGACAUGAGGUAAAUCAAAGUUAAUCCCCCUUAAUUGUGGAUAUUUAGAAACAACUUGAGAACAUGAGGUAAAUCAAAAUUAAUACCCCUUAAUUGUGGAUAUUUAGAAACAAUUGAUUUAAGAUUUGCACCUAAGCCACCGGCAACAUCCACCAAUUGGUUCAGCC
rnacentral:lncRNA from 1 species